rnacentral:tRNA from 1 species
GAGCACAUGGCUCAGUGGUUAUGGGCGUUAGGCCAGUAACCGAAAAGUGGCUGGUUCAAACCCCACUGUGGUCA